AACGAACGCUGGCGGCAUGCCUAACACAUGCAAGUCGAACGAGACCUUCGGGUCUAGUGGCGCACGGGUGCGUAACGCGUGGGAACCUGCCCUUAGGUUCGGAAUAACUCACCGAAAGGGGUGCUAAUACCGGAUAAUGUCUUCGGACCAAAGAUUUAUCGCCUUUGGAUGGGCCCGCGUUGGAUUAGCUAGUUGGUAGGGUAAAAGCCUACCAAGGCGACGAUCCAUAGCUGGUCUGAGAGGAUGAUCAGCCACACUGGGACUGAGACACGGCCCAGACUCCUACGGGAGGCAGCAGUGGGGAAUAUUGGACGAUGGGCGAAAGCCUGAUCCAGCAAUGCCGCGUGAGUGAUGAAGGCCUUAGGGUUGUAAAGCUCUUUUACCCGGGAUGAUAAUGACAGUACCGGGAGAAUAAGCUCCGGCUAACUCCGUG
rnacentral:rRNA from 1 species